UAAUACGGAGGGUGCGAGCGUUGUCCGGAAUCACUGGGCGUAAAGGGCGCGUAGGCGGCUCGGUAAGCGGGCGGUGAAAGCCCGGGGCUCAACCCCGGGUCUGCCGUGCGGACUGCCGUGGCUUGAGCACUGUAGAGGCAGGUAGAAUUCCGGGUGUAGCGGUGGAAUGCGUAGAGAUCCGGAAGAAUACCGGUGGCGAAGGCGGCCUGCUGGGCAGUGGCUGACGCUGAGGCGCGACAGCGUGGGGAGCAAACAGGAUUAGAUACCCUGGUAGUCCACGCCGUAAACGAUGGGCACUAGGUGCUUGGGGGAGCGACCCCUUGAGUGCCGUCGCUAACGCAGUAAGUGCCCCGCCUGGGGAGUACGGCCGCAAGGCUG
rnacentral:rRNA from 1 species